rnacentral:misc_RNA from 1 species
UAUUUACAGUAUAAUCCUUGUAAUCAUCAAGGUCACAGGGUUAUUUACUGUAAAUAAUAUCUGUUAGAAGUCAAUUGAGUGUGCUUAAACCUCGAAGAAGAAACUUUUUAAACGUAUUACAAUACAUUAAAUUAAACCUUGAAAAAGUUGGAAGCUAGUAUUAUGUGUGUCUCCACUUGAAUUUUUAAUAGGUACAUCCUUCCUUCUUCCUGUUUUCAGACAGCUGAGGCAAUAAGCUAGCAUGUUAACAGUCAAGAAUUUUAAAUUUCAAUUGAUAAUUUUUUUUUCCAUGGAGAGGGCAUUUUGUGGUACCUUUCUAUAUAACUUUGAAUUUUCAAGGUCCAACACCCCUGUCCUCCCUCCCCUCAACACCCCCCCCCCCCCCAGCCAAAAAAAAUUGCUAUCUGUUCCAGACAUGAAAUAUUUUCAAUAUUGCUUCUCAUAUGUCAUCUUUACUUGCACCAAAUAUGUUCCUGUAAGUUUUUACUUGUUAUUUUUCUGCUUUAGUGAAGUAUUAAAAAAAUCCACCAAAAAUCCAUUAAAAUUCGAUCUCUGAAUAUUCAGGAGGAAGAAGAAUUAUUUUCCCCUACCAUGAACAUGUUUUUCUUGAAACUUUACUCAACUGAAACUGUUGCAUCUUUGAACCAUUUUGACACAUUAAUGGAUGGUGCCAUGAAAACUUGGGUUUGAAAAAUCUGUACUAGUCUGUUGUAGAAUAUUAUUCAGGUGAUUAUGUACAUGACACUUUAGAACCAUUUUAACGAGAGCUUAGACUUUGGGUAGUAAAUGUAUCAAACUGCAAUUUGAUGUAGGCCUGUCUAUUUCAUUGAUGGCCAUCCAGCCAUGGCUCUUUGAAAUCUACAAGAUUUUUUCACUUAACGUCAGCAUCAUGUUUGAAAUAUAUAGUUACAUCCUUCCGAAAGUCCACGGUCUUGUUAAAAUGGUUCUAGUUUGUUGAAUGUUAAAAUCAAAAUUAUUUUUAAAAAAGUUACUGUGCCAUCUUUGCCAAUCAUUAUUGAAUUUUUGUUUUGUAUACAUAUACACAGCUGUUCUUUAAAUAUAUGAUUAUUUAUUUGAUGUGCUAUAACUCGUAUAUAUAUACACAGCUUGUAUUCAAACUGUAUUCAUUUGUUUAUUGAUUGUGCCAUAUUUUAGAAUUUUUUGUUUUGUCUAUACAUGUAUACAGUAGUUAUUCAAUGUUUAUGAGUCAAUGUUUUACAAAAUAAAAAAUGUAAACCAUG